UACGUAGGGGGCAAGCGUUGUCCGGAAUCAUUGGGCGUAAAGCGCGUGUAGGCGGGUCGGUAAGUCUGCUCUGAAAGUCCAAGGCUCAACCUUGGGAUGCGGGUGGAUACUGCCGACCUCGAGUCCGGAAGAGGCGAGUGGAAUUCCGUGGUGUAGCGGUGAAAUGCGCAGAUAUCGAGGAGGAACACCAAUGGCGAAGGCAGCUCGCUGGGACGUGACUGACGCUGAGACGCGAAAGCGUGGGAGCAACAGG
rnacentral:rRNA from 1 species